rnacentral:rRNA from 1 species
AGCGAACGCUAGCGGCGGGCUUAACACAUGCAAGUCGAGCGGAGGGGCAACCCUUAGCGGCGGACGGGUGAGUAACACGUAGGUAACGUAUCCUCUGGUGGGGAAUAACCGUGGGAAACCAUGGCUAAUACCGCAUCUCUUUGUUAUUAUAGCCGCAAGGCGGUUUUGGAUGGGCGUGCGCCUGAUUAGGUAGUUGGCGGGGUAACGGCCCACCAAGCCUGCGAUCAGUAACUGGUGUGAGAGCACGACCAGUCACACGGGCACUGAGACACGGGCCCGACUCCUACGGGAGGCAGCAGUAAGGAAUAUUGGUCAAUGGACGCAAGUCUGAACCAGCCAUGCCGCGUGAAGGAUGACGGCCCUCUGGGUUGUAAACUUCUUUUAUCUGGACGAAAAAGGGCUUUCUAGCUCACUUGACGGUACCAGAGGAAUAAGCACCGGCUAACUCCGUGCCAGCAGCCGCGGUAAU